CGCGUAGGCGGUCCGGUGUGUCGGCUGUGAAAUCCCUGGGCUUAACUCAGGAAUCGCAGCCGAAACUACCAGACUUGAGGCAUUUUUUGGGUGACUGGAACUCUUGGUGGAGCGGUGACAUGCGUAGAUAUCAAGAGGAACGCCGGUGGUGAAGACGGGUCACUGGAAAUGUCCUGACGCUGAGGCGCGAAAGCCAGGGGAGCGAACGGAAUUAGAUACUCCGGUAGUCCUGGCCGUAAACGAUGUGCACUAGGUGGUGGUGGCUCUGACGCCGUCACGGCCGAAGCAAAAGUGCUAAGUGCACCGCCUGGGGAGUACGGUCGCAAGGCUAAA
rnacentral:rRNA from 1 species